ACUGACACCAGAGAAGCGGAAGAGGCGGGACACUCUUUCGCAGACGACUGCCGACCGGAAGCGGGAGUCGGCUGGAGACGCCGGAGGAGGGGAGAGAGGAAGAAGGGAGAAGGCUGAGGGACAAGGGGAGGGGAAAGGGGUGGAGGAUAGAAGAGGGAGGAAAACGCCGGACGCACUCUGAUCACCUGAUCAGCUGCCCUGUAACGACAAAUUGUGAGCCUCUGGCCCUGGAGCGUGUGGUUACGUUGGCGCAUGCGCAGCGCUGGGGUCACUGGGAUCUCUGCGCUUGCGCCAUAGACGCGUCUUCGCCCUUGGGGCUGCUGGCUCUGCCUGUUCCUAUGGUCAACAUAGCGACAUCUAGCCUAGGUGGCAGGCUCUACCAUGUAGCUGAGCCAUCCUUGUCAGCGACUGAGAGGUCUCUGGUGGCUUCUGCUCUAGACAGCUUUUUAAAAGACCACACUCGAGGGAUGCUGAGCCAUGUGUAAUUGGCAGUAUUUGCUUGGGAUGCAGGUAUCAAUUUAAACUAAGGGAGAACAGCAGCCGAUUUGGAUUCCAGAGAGAUUAACUAAAGCGAUUUCUACAGACCAAAAAGAAGAUGACUUGGCUCAAAUCCAUAACAGCUGAUAUUCAGAACUCCAGUUUGGCUAUUCUUACAUCUGCGACAGUGAUUCUCCCACACCUGGAGGCUAAUGAAUAAUGAACACCAUUAAGACCUAUUUCAAAUGUAAGAAACCUUGGGGCUUACUUGUGGGAAUACCUUCAGACUCAUAUGCAAGUUACAGGAAGAAGGAUGGGAUAUCCAAAGAAGACUCAAACCCAGGUUGUAACCAGGAUGCCUUUUUCAAUAUCUAUUUUAUUAUUGCCUUUUCUCACAGCAUGAAGUUCUAUUUUAUUUUUUGAGCUCAUACAGACCUAGGUUAAUGUUUUUCUGAUCAGUUCUAUUUUUUUACUGUGGAGUUUUUAAACAUUGCAAUGGAGAUUUCACCUGUGUAAAGCUACAAGGCCUUUACUAUUGUCUUAUGUGUUGUAUGUUAUGUGUGCACACUUCUGUUUUGUGUUGUAUGUCUGUAUAUGUGUAUGCCCAUAUAUAUGGGGAGCGCUCAUGAAAAAAUGGAUCCGAAUAUUUUUUUUUUAUUCACAUGAUUUAAAUGAUUUAAUUUAAAUUAGGUAAACAGCUGUUAAGGAUUGUUUUUAAAGGUGGUUAACAGAUCUGUUUGUUUACUUUCACCUUUCCUUUUCAUUAUAUUUAAUAAUUCUGUUCAGGAUAAUGUAAAUUGUUCAGAAAAUUGUUUUCUUAGUGCCUGCUGGAAUAUUACAUAAUUUUUUUUUUGGCCAUCAUUGCCAGAAUUCCUAUCUUCAUCCCAGUGCUGGUGAAGACAAAGAUAAAACUAAGCUACAGCUUCUUCGAUAGCUAUCACAGUAAACUGUAUAAACUGAUGCAUCAAUGAAUAAUAACUCAACAAGUGAUGCUCAAUCAAGAAGUCGAUUUACUUUCCGAGGAAAUGGACAUAUUAAUGGAUUCCUCUGCUUUGAACUGCUUGCAGAACUUGCCUGGACUAUGUAUCACUUGCAUGCAUUGUGAACUAACUGUUGGUGCAGUGAAUUGUGGUAUUGCUGGAGUAUCUUUGUUGAUGGUGUCAUUGGUGGUACAAUUUUUCCAGAAAGAGCCAUCAUUUGGCUUGGUGCCGUGGCAUUUUGCAUCCUCCUUCCUUUCUGCUUGUGAUGGUCUAAAAUUUGGGGGCCAACAGAGGUGAGGCAAAAAACCUCACCCCCCCACUGGCACCAAGGCCAAAUUUGGGGGCCAACAGAGGUGAGACAAAGAACCUCACUCCCCCACUGGUACCAAGACCAAAUUUGGGGGCCAACAGAGGUGAGGCAAAGAACCUCACCCCCCCACUGGUGCAAAGACCUAUCCACAAGUAUGGCUGUAUGCUGGACCGGUAGCCAAUGACGGGUAAGAUCCAAUUACAAUGGUACCAACCUAAGACAGGAGGCUGACGCCUUGAGUCAGAUCAUUCGAUGACGGGUAAGGACCAUAUGUAGUAUUGGACAACCUAAGAUAGACAUGGUCCCUAAGCCACGUGCUUGUUGUUUAAUUAAACAGAAGGGGGUAGAUGUUGAGAGCCACAGUUUAGUCGGAAUGACGCCUGGCAUUUUGCUAGAGGGAAUGGUUGAAAGGUGACCCUGCUCUGGGAUUAGGGCUGCUCCGGGAUUAGGGCAGAUCCUGCUGGGAUCAGGGCGGAUCCUUCUGCCUCGGGUACCUGCUACUUUGGAGUUCCCUUUGAGUUCUGGUUCCGGGGAGAAUUGGUGCACGGAGCACAGUGGAGGGAGUGUGUUCCCGGAAAGUGCGUGUAGAGUGCCAGUGAGAGUUCGGGAAUAAAGAGUCGCUGUUUGAAUCUACAAGGCUUUGUAGAUUGAUUAACUUGGUUUUUUUGUUAUUGUUUUUGUGUGUGUUAAGUUUUUUGAGUUCUUUAAAUAUUCUGGAUAUAAUUCUCUGUCAGAAGAGUAGCUGGUAAAGGUUUUCUUUCAUUCUGUUUGCUCUGUCCUCAUGUUCUUAUUUCCCUUCCUUACAGAAGCUGUACAGGAAUAAGCUGUACAGGAAUAAAUUUUAUUAAUAAGUUUUAUCCCACUUAUUGAUUCUUGGUUUUAUUUCUUGAGCAUUAGGGGUCUUAUUAAGGAAGUUGAUACCUGUGCCUAUAUUUUAGAGUAUUAGUCUUAUGUUUUCUUCUAGCAGGAGCAGUGUUUCUGAUCUAAUCCUUAAGUCUUUGAUACACUUUGAAUUGACUUUCAUACAGGAUGAGAGAUUGAGAUCUAGUUUCAUUCUUUUUCAUACAGAUAUCCAGCUUUCCCAGCACCAUUGAUUAAAAAGCCUAUUUUUUCUCCAACAUGUUUUUGGUACCUUUAGGACACUAUGUUUUUAAAUGUAUUUAAUUAUAUUUUACUUAUAAAAUACAAAACGAAAACUAUUGUAAAGCAAAUGAUUUUAAAUAAAAAGGUUUCAUACUGAUUUUAAA